rnacentral:rRNA from 1 species
UACGUAGGGGCAAGCGUUGUCCGGAAUCAUUGGGCGUAAAGAGCGUGUAGGCGGCCAGAUAAGUCCGCUGUGAAACUCGAGGCUCAACUUCGAGCUGUCGGUGGAAACUAUUUGGCUAGAGUCCGGAAGAGGAGAGUGGAAUUCCUGGUGUAGCGGUGAAAUGCGCAGAUAUCAGGAAGAACACCCGUGGCGAAGGCGGCUCUCUGGUACGGAACUGACGCUGAGACGCGAAGCGUGGGAGCGAACAGG